rnacentral:rRNA from 1 species
GGCUCAGGACGAACGCUGGCGGCGUGCUUACCGCGGCAAGUCGAACGGUGAAGCCCUUCGGGGUGGAUCAGUGGCGAACGGGUGAGUAACACGUGAGCAACCUGCCCCUGACUCUGGGAUAACUCCGGGAAACCGGAGCUAAUACCGGAUAUGACGCGCGGACGCAUGUUCUGUGUGUGGAAAGAUUUAUUGGUCAGGGAUGGGCUCGCGGCCUAUCAGCUUGUUGGUGGGGUAAUGGCCUACCAAGGCGACGACGGGUAGCCGGCCUGAGAGGGCGACCGGCCACACUGGGACUGAGACACGGCCCAGACUCCUACGGGAGGCAGCAGUGGGGAAUAUUGCGCAAUGGGCGAAAGCCUGACGCAGCGACGCCGCGUGGGGGAUGAAGGCCUUCGGGUUGUAAACCUCUUUCAGCAGGGAAGAAGCGAGAGUGACGGUACCUGCAGAAGAAGCACCGGCUAACUACGUGCCAGCAGCCGCGGUAAUACGUAGGGUGCAAGCGUUGUCCGGAAUUAUUGGGCGUAAAGAGCUCGUAGGCGGUUUGUCGCGUCUGCUGUGAAAACUCGGGGCUUAACUCCGGGCCUGCAGUGGGUACGGGCAGACUAGAGUGUGGUAGGGGAGACCGGAAUUCCUGGUGUAGCGGUGAAAUGCGCAGAUAUCAGGAGGAACACCGAUGGCGAAGGCAGGUCUCUGGGCCAUAACUGACGCUGAGGAGCGAAAGCGUGGGGAGCGAACAGGAUUAGAUACCCUGGUAGUCCACGCCGUAAACGUUGGGCGCUAGGUGUGGGGCUCUUUCCACGAGUUCCGUGCCGCAGCAAACGCAUUAAGCGCCCCGCCUGGGGAGUACGGCCGCAAGGCUAAAACUCAAAU